rnacentral:rRNA from 1 species
AUUGAACGCUGGCGGCAUGCUUUACACAUGCAAGUCGAACGGUAACAGGCCGCAAGGUGCUGACGAGUGGCGAACGGGUGAGUAAUGCAUAGGAACGUGCCCAGUCGUGGGGGAUAACGCAGCGAAAGCUGCGCUAAUACCGCAUACGAUCUCUGGAUGAAAGCGGGGGACCGAAAGGCCUCGCGCGAUUGGAGCGGCCGAUGUCAGAUUAGGUAGUUGGUGGGGUAAAGGCUCACCAAGCCAACGAUCUGUAGCUGGUCUGAGAGGACGACCAGCCACACUGGGACUGAGACACGGCCCAGACUCCUACGGGAGGCAGCAGUGGGGAAUUUUGGACAAUGGGCGCAAGCCUGAUCCAGCAAUGCCGCGUGCAGGAAGAAGGCCUUCGGGUUGUAAACUGCUUUUGUACGGAACGAAACGGUCCUGGUUAAUACCUGGGGCUAAUGACGGUACCGUAAGAAUAAGCACCGGCUAACUACGUGCCAGCCGCCGCAGUAA